GUUUAGGGCGUACAUGAUUGAUUCAGUUGCUGUUUUUGGAACUUUGGUAACUUAAGAAUCGAUCUCCAGUGUUAGCUUCCCGUUCAAUUUUGGUACCUCAACCAACUAAAGGUCUUACUGUUCGAGCUAUAAGCAUCCGCAUUAGGAAAAAAAUAAGAAGUAGCUAGCUUGGCAGAAAUUGCAUGUAGAUAUAGUUUGCUUCAAAACCAAUUAACUUCAUUGGUGAUUUACUUUAUACACAUAGUUCGAUCAUCGUUUGUGCAUGCAAGCCUUGUUCGAUCAGUUCAUUUUUAUUCUUCACUCUCAUCUAAUUAAACGAAACUUCACUUGCCAAUAUUCACAUAUCGAUGAGAUGAGAAAACUGAACAGAUAUAUAUACACACCAGCUAAUACUAGCUCUCAUGCACGUUCUGCAAAUUCAUGAAUCUCAUUUAACUCCAGCCUCAAAGGAAGCAGUGUGCGCCUCGAUCUCAGUUGACGUCGGCGCGCUUGUCUACAAAGCACUCGUACUAACUGAAAACCCUCCCCUAUGAUAUAGAUGAUGUACAUCAUAUACGGUAGAUGGUUCCAAGAGUCUGGGAGCAAAAUUGAAAGCAGUGAAGCAACCAAGAGCAAACCAGAAAACAACAUGCCAAAUCUAGACCAAAUACGAGCUCUAGCAGCUGGAAACCUCACCCUAACCCCAACUAUCAAGCAAUAUGCAAGUAAGCUUCCUAUCGCGACAACAGUGGCGUUGCGAUGUGUUUCGAAUGGAGAAGACAGGAAUGAAAUUCCAGGGAACUUAAUUUGAAUAAAGGCGACGAGUAUGGGGACGAUGAAGGCGAGAAUGGCAUGACUGGAAGUGGAAGCUGCGAGAUUGAUUAGGAGAAUGUUGAAGGUGACUGUAAAGGAUUAUGUUCGUGUACGAUAAGGGUUUGGUGCAUUUGAUACUGAAGAUCAGCCAUGUAUAUGAGAGCUAGCUAUCUGGUUUUCAGUAACGAGUAAUAUACGUCGUCGAAGCAAAAUCUCUUGGAAUAUUUAUAGACCAACUUAGAACUUAGAAGGCAAAAGGAGAUAAUAUGAUGAGUCAUGAUUUUAGAAUCACUUUGCCACUAUAUAACUUAAGACACUUUCUUGAUUCUUUCAGGUAGAGGAAGUCAAGCAACAAAUCAUAAAUUAUAUUGCAGGCUCACGUAUAUACAGUCGACUGUACGCACAAUUGCUUCUUCAUUUCGUGCAAUCUUACUUUUCAUGCAAGUAGCUUGGGCAAAGAUAAG
rnacentral:lncRNA from 1 species